AAGGCCCGGGCUUUCCUCCCAG
rnacentral:miRNA from 1 species